CCCCGAUCAACUUCGCCACCACCCACUACUGAAGGAAACGAGCAACCCGGUGAAGAUUGUCACGUCAUUCAAGAAAAUGUCCAAGCCUCUAACCGCCAUGAUGAAUCAUCCUCACCACCCUCCGAUCCAGAUCCCUUCGCUGAAGACUUCCCAUUAGAUGAAGAUUUGAUGGGGAGUAAUAAUAAUAAUGAAGCAUCGCGCGUUGGUGGAGGUGUAGGAACCAGAAGGGGAUCUUCACUCACGAGGGAAAGAACGGAGGGUAAUAAGGUAGUGAGUACCAUUCAUUAUG